UACGUAGGGAGCAAGCGUUGUCCGGAUUUACUGGGUGUAAAGGGUGCGUAGGCGGCUUUGCAAGUCAGAAGUGAAAUCUAUGGGCUUAACCCAUAAACUGCUUUUGAAACUGCAGGGCUUGGGUGAAGUAGAGGUAGGCGGAAUUCCCGGUGUAGCGGUGAAAUGCGUAGAGAUCGGGAGGAACACCAGUGGCGAAGGCGGCCUACUGGGCUUUAACUGACGCUGAGGCACGAAAGCGUGGGUAGCAAACAGG
rnacentral:rRNA from 1 species